UGCUGUGCUAAUCAGGUUUAAGAUCAAGCAGGACCCACAAGACGGCGCUGAGAGUUACUUGUGAUGACCAGUUUAUAAGGGCUAACUGAACAGGUCUUUACUGCUGCUAUUAAGAAAUAAUUCAGGAGGGAGAAGAUGGAAACAAACACUCUGACAUCCUGUAUCCAGUUAGGAAAUGCUGUGACCUUCCCCGAUGUAGCUGUGAGCUUCUCCCAAGAUGAAUGGCUGUGCCUGAACCCCUCUCAGAGGAAUCUCUACAGAAACGUGAUGCUAGAGACCUACCAGCAUCUGCAGGC